AGGACGAACGCUGGCGGCGUGCUUAACACAUGCAAGUCGAGCGGAAAGGCCCUUCGGGGUACUCGAGCGGCGAACGGGUGAGUAACACGUGAGUAAUCUGCCCUUAGCUCUGGGAUAGCUCCGGGAAACCGGGAUUAAUACCGGAUACGACUACUACGGACAUCUGUGGUGGUGGAAAGAACUUCGGCUAGGGAUGAGCUCGCGGCCUAUCAGCUUGUUGGUGGGGUAACGGCCUACCAAGGCGACGACGGGUA
rnacentral:rRNA from 1 species